UAUUUCUGGUCAGACACGUAGCUAACCUACCCUUAAGUCGAGGAUACUCUCGGGAAACUGAGGUUAAUACUCGAUAGGAGAUGUACCCUGGAAUGAUUCAUCUCUCAAAUUCGUGCUUAAGGAUGGGGCUGCGGCGGAUUAGGUUGUUGGCGGGGUAAAGGCCCACCAAGCCAAUGAUCCGUAAGGGCUCUUAGCGGAGAGGCCCUGAGAGGGAAUCUGAGACACUAUUCCCAGCCCUACGGGGUGCAGCAGUUAGGAAUUUUCUGCAAUGUACGAAAGUAUGACAGAUUGAGUCAGAGUGCUUUUCAUAUGAAAAGCUUUUGCCAAAUGUAAAAAGUUUGGCGAAUAAGGACUGGGUAAGACGAGUGCCAGCAGCCGCGGUAAUACAAUAAAAA
rnacentral:rRNA from 1 species